AUGUGUUUGUAAGAUAGUACAGAGGGCCCCAGUGUGUUUGUAAGAUAUGGUACAGAGGGCUGCAGUGUGUUUAUAAGAUAUAGUACAGAGGGCCCCAGUGUGUUUGUAAGAUAUAGUACAGAGGGCUCCAGUGUGUUUGUAAGAUAUGGUACAGAGGGCCGCAGUGUGUUUAUAAGAUAUAGUACAGAGGGCCCCAGUGUGUUUGUAAGAUAUAGUACAGAGGGCCCCAGUGUGUUUGUAAGAUAUAGUACAGAGGGCUCCAGUGUGUUUGUAAGAUAUGGUACAGAGGGCCCAGUGUGUUUAUAAGAUAUAGUACAGAGGGCUCCAGUGUGUUUGUAAGAUAUAGUACAGAGGGCUCCAGUGUGUUUGUAAGAUAUAGUACAGAGGGCCCCAGUGUGUUUGUAAGAUAUAGUACAGAGGGCCCCAGUGUGUUUGUAAGAUAUGGUACAGAGGGCUGCAGUGUGUUUAUAAGAUAUAGUACAGAGGGCCCCAGUGUGUUUGUAAGAUAUAGUACAGAGGGCUCCAGUGUGUUUGUAAGAUAUGGUAGAGGGCCGCAGUGUGUUUAUAAGAUAUAGUACAGAGGGCCGCAGUGUGUUUGUAAGAUAUAGUACAGAGGGCCCCAGUGUGUUUGUAAGAUAUGGUACAGAGGGCUGCAGUGUGUUUAUAAGAUAUAGUACAGAGGGCUCCAGUGUGUUUGUAAGAUAUAGUACAGAGGGCUCCAGUGUGUUUGUAAGAUAUAGUAUAGAGGGCCCCAGUGUGUUUGUAAGAUAUAGUACAGAGGGCCCCAGUGUGUUUGUAAGAUAUAGUACAGAGGGCUCCAGUGUGUUUGUAAGAUAUAGUCAAGAGGGCUCCAGUGUGUUUGUAAGAUAUGGUACAGUGGGCCGCAGUGUGUUUGCAACACACAUCACAGUUAAGAUGCUAAUGUUUAGUUAGGGCUCUAUUCAAUCCAUAUCGCUGAAGAUCUGUUUCAUAACACAUUGAUAAUUAAAGGCAAUGUUCCCUGCUGUCUCACGGUAAACGCUGCAUAUCAAAUCACAUUUUAUUUGUCACAUACGCCAAAUACAACAGGUGUAGACCUUAUCAUGAAAUGCUUACUUACAAGCCCUUCACCAACAAUGCAGUUCAAGAAAUAGAUUUAACAAAAUAUUUAGUAAAUAAACUAAAGUAAAAAAAUUAAAUAAAAUCAAAAAGUAACAUAAGAAAAUUACAUAACAAUAAUGAGGCUAUAUACAGGGGUACCGAUACCGAAUCAAUUUGCGGGGGUACAAGUUAGUCGAGGUCAUUUGUAAAUUGACUAUGCAUAGAUAAUAAACAGCAAGUAGGAGAAGUGUAAAACAAAGGGGGGGGGUCAAUGUAAAUAGUCCUGGUGGCCAUUUAAUUAAUUGUUCAGUAGUCUUAUGGCUUGGUGGUAGAAGCUGUUAAGGAGCUUUUUGAUCCUAGACUUGGCGCUCCGGUACCGCUUGCCGUGCGGUAGCAGAGAGAACAGUCUAUGACUUGGGUGACUGGAGUCUGACUAUUUUUUUUUAUGACGGCUCAAUCUGAAAUUACCUUUAAGUUUCAACAUGGAUCCUCCCAGAUACUUGUAUCCAGGCUACAGUAUCACACAUAAAUAUUUGACAGCCCCAAACCAAAUAGUAAAGAAAGUAAAGUUCCUCAAUAGUUUAACAUUAUUCAAAGCUAUCGCAGCUAAUCACUUCUGACUUAAAACCAGAUGUGGGGGAAUAGUGGUUGAAAACGAAUGUAGACAUUAAGCUACACAAACUCCCCGCUCUGCCAGUCUAUACUGUCGGUUCCUUAGAGCAUGUUCCCAAUGCUUACUGUAUAUACAGUGAUCUCCAAAACUAUUGGGACAGUGACACAUUUUUUGUUGUUUUGGAUCUGUACUCCAGCACUUUGGAUUUGAAAUGAUACAGUGACUAUGAGGUUAAAGUGCAGACUCAGCUUUAAUUUUAGGGUAUUUUCAUCCAUAUCGGGUGAACCAUUGGAAAUUACAGCACUUUUUGUACAUAGUCCCCCCAUUUUAGGGGACCAAAAGUAUUGGGACAAAUUCAAUUACAUGUGUAUUCAAGUAGUCAAAAGUUUAGUAUUUGGUCCCAUAUUCCUAGCCCGUAAUGACUACAUCAAGCCUGUGACUCUACAAAAUUGUUGGAUGCAUUUGCUGUUUGUUUUGGUUGUGUUUCAGAUUAUUUUGUGCCCAAUAGAAAUGAAUGGUAAAUAAUUUAUUGUGUCAUUUUGGAG
ensembl:lncRNA